rnacentral:rRNA from 1 species
GACAGAGGAUGCAAACGUUGCUCGGAAUUACUGGGCGUAAAGGGUGCGUAGGUGGCGCCGUAAGUCGGGUGUGAAAUUUCGGAGCUUAACUCCGAAACUGCAUUCGAUACUGCGGUGCUUGAGGACUGGAGAGGAGACUGGAAUUCAUGGUGUAGCAGUGAAAUGCGUAGAGAUCAUGAGGAAGACCAGUGGCGAAGGCGGGUCUCUGGACAGUUCCUGACACUGAGGCACGAAGGCCAGGGGAGCAAACGGG